rnacentral:lncRNA from 1 species
AGAAUGAGGUUACUAUACUAUCUAUAAUACCGAGACUCCGGUACUAUAUUCUUAUUUUCGAUCUUAGGGUGCUCAAAUCAAUGAUCCACAUUAUUAAAUAUAAUUUAGAGUAUAUAAAGUUGUUAGAAAUAAAAUUUUAAUUUUUUUCGAUAUCGUUGACUUAAUAAGUAAAUUAAGGCAAAUUGAAUGGUGGAAAUUGAACGAUCUUUAAAAUUUAAGAAUAGGACUUUUGAAUUCAAGAUCAAAGAUGAUGCCCUUGAUUUAGAUAAUUUAAAGUAUUUUCUAUCAAAAUUUGAAUAAAUUUAUAUUUUUCUAUACCGUUAAAUUACAAACUCACCAUAGCAACCAUUGAAAAUUAACGGUUUUGAAAUUGUUUGAUCAUAAAGUAACCUAUAUUGAAAAAGUAUAAAAUUUGUUUUCUAAAAAUUUUAAAUACUCUAGAUCAGUUUUAACGGUAUGGAUUGUUGAUUUGAACACUCUAAGAUCAAAAAUAAGAAUAUAGUACCGGAGUCCCGGUAUUUUAUAGAUAUUAUAGGAGCAUAGCUUAUAUUUAUAUGCUUGAAGUUACAUUUAAAUUUGUAUUUUAAAAUUAUAGAUUUAAUGUAAUAUAUUUUGAAAUAUGGCAAAGAAAAAUAAUUGUUUCGGUUAGGUUUUCAAGUUAGGGUUUCAGGUUUUUGGUUGGGUUCAGGCUUGGAUAUGGAUAUUUAAAACUCAUCAGAUUCGAGUUCAGAUUCAGAUUUUGAAUUGAGAGUACCGUUCGGUUUUGGAAAAUCCGCGCCAAAUUCGAUCCACUGACAUCCCUAUUUUUUA